UACGUAGGCAGCGAGCGUUGUUCGGAAUUACUGGGCGUAAAGAGUGUGUAGGCGGUGCUCUAAGUUCGGUGUGAAAUCUCCUGGCUCAACUGGGAGGGUGCGCCGGAAACUGGAGUGCUUGAGCGUGGGAGAGGAAAGCGGAAUUCCUGGUGUAGCGGUGAAAUGCGUAGAUAUCAGGAGGGACAUCUGUGGUGUAGACGGCUUUCUGGACCAUAGCUGACGCUGAGACACGAAAGCGUGGGUAGCAAACAGG
rnacentral:rRNA from 1 species